GAGCCUACACUCUGAUCACUUAGAUGCCAAUUUGUUCCCCAGGGAAGGCUGAUUGAGGUAAUUAGAUAAUCAGGCUGGCAAACUGGAUGGGAUAAAGAGCCAAUUAGUCCAUCAGCCCAAAUCUGAUAAAGAGGCACAGACAGGGAGUACCAAGAUUGGGGGAGAAAGGGGGAGUGGAAGGAGGGAAUAAAAUAGGGCUAGCUGAGCUCAGCUACACAGAGACCUCAGAGAAAGGAGACCUCUGCUCCCCUCAGAUACUGAUGAGGGCCACAAGCAGAGAAGAUAUUGUAAGUAGACUGUUGCACAGGGACAGUCGUGAUAUUGGUGGAAGGAACUCAAAAAUAAAUGGCACUGUGAAUGCACAACUAGUGGAGUGUGUUGCUUCUGUGGGGCAAGAAGACAGGAGCAAAGGUGUGCCCUGCUACAGUUCCUCACGGAGUAGAGGGUAUGCCACCAGGAACAGCUUUUCCUGCACUCCAUGCAAAUGUGCUAUGACUCGUCCCAUCUGACUGCAGCGAGGCAGUGGUGGCCAUUCCAGCAUUACCACCAAAGAGCCUGGGAGGUCAGAGAAUGGUUGCAUUAGCGGUCACAAAUGGGCCAUGGGCCAUGGCUCCAGUUGUGAACAGCUGCCUUGGCAGCCAACUUGUUUCGGCUACUGGUUCCUGACUUCCUCUUCUGGCAUGGAUUCCUCAUGGAGUAGAGAGCAUCCCAUCAGGAACAGCUUUGCCUGGGAUCCAUGAGAAUGUGCUACAAGUCAUCCCAGCUUUCUGCAGAGACGCACUGGUGGCUGUUCCAGCAUUACCAGCAAAAAGCCUGGGAGCAGGAUUUGUAGCAGGAAGGUAGGACCCACAAGUAUGAUUUCAGAGAGAGGUUGCAUUACCUCCUGGUGGAUGAAGUUCCCACUGUUAACAGCAGUUCAGGACUAGGGUCUCAAGCUCGGAGAGAUGGGCCUGCAUUGUUCUCUAAAUUUGGGAUGAUCAGUAGUAGGAUGGGAGAUUAUGAAGGCUGCUCGUUUGGAUUUUGAAAGCACAGUGGGUCACUUGCUUAUUACACCACUAAGCAAUUUCCCUGUUUUCACUUGGGGCCCUGAAAGCAUAAGCUGAAGCAAAUGCUUCUUAUAAGUGCAGAACACACCUUCAUUGCAAGAGGACAUCACAUUGCAGACCAGAUGCUGUGACAUCAGCACAAUAUGGCAUAAUCCCUUUAAAAGACAAACAGAAAUGUGAAGUUCUGAAACAAAACAGUAAAGUAUUACCUCAACUGUGUAAACCAACAACAGGCUGUUAGCACCUUUAUAACAUACAGUAGCAGCACAAUGCAUCAACUAUCCAUGGAAAGGAUGAAAUAUUACCUCUGCCUUGUAAACAAUAUAAUGCUACAACUUUUCUAUAACACGGUAAUGAAUCUACAACACAGACCUUCCCUUUCCCACCUGCUCACAGGUGUUUCAGACAAACUUUGCAGGCUACCGUGUAGCCAGUCAGCUUUUGCGCCCAUGCAAUAUUUUUUAUUCUUGGUUUCCUCUCUAAAUGUGUACUUUAAUGAACUUGUACAACUUGUGAUGUACUAAAUGUGUUCCGUAAACCAUAGAGGAUGAAUGCUGUGGCCAAGCCAACAUGAGGGUGAGGCCUUGACAUUUUCUUGGCUUUUUAGAGUUCAAAAUAAGCAGAGCUACACCAGAAGAAUUCUCCAUCAGCCUGCUGUGGGGCUUUUCAUGGUGCCUCUGUGCUUCUGGGUGGUGUAGAGGGGCUGCAGCUGGUGGAGAAUCCCUCUCCAAAGAUGAAGAAACUAUCAUGUGGAAGCAAGUUUAUAAAUGCCCCAGAGCAAUGUAACAAAGGGAGUUCAGAAGCUCUCCAAAUGCAGAGUUAUUUAAGCAUUAAAUUUCUACUACUUUUUCCCAUUAAAAUGAUGUCCUUUAACACACAUAUUUAACAACAUUAGAAACAAUUUCAUAAGAGAGAGAGGGAGGGAAAGAUUGCCAAGUUAAAACAAUACUAUGAAAGUACCUGAGCAGCUCUUCUUCUGGCAUGGAUCCUAAUGGAGUAGAGAGCUUUCCCACCAGGAAGGUCUUGUGCCUUGUGUUGACCAGUCCUCCACACGGGAAUGAAUUGCAUCUUUACUGCAUUUUGGAACCGCAGGAGGAGUAGAGUCGGUACUACAUAAGGGAGCUGUGGCAACACCAGUGGUACUGGAACCCCUGGAAACAGGAAAGGGAGACAGAAUCAGAGAGCAGAGAAAAUGAUUCUGGCGAGCAGCACAAGGAACUAUGUGAAUCAGUGACACCAGAUCAUAAUCCCUGAUUUGUCAAUUUUUUAUCUGAUUUGCUUAGAAUAGGAUUUCUUCAUGAUUUGGUGCAGUGAUUUCAGGAAUGGAGGGAAGAGGAGCUGGUUAGAUAGUGUGACAGAAGCUUCUUGUCACUGCUACUGGAGGCCCAGUGCUGAAUCGGGCUUUGCCAGUCAGCCAUGGUCCCCUCUGCUCUCAGAUGGAACUCACCCACACCAUGUGUCAUGUACAGUAACAGAACUCUAUUGAUUUCCCUCCUAUGUGACUUUUACAAAUGCUGCUGCUUGCUAUGAAACAUGGAUGUUGUCUUUCACCGACGCAGGAGUCCAUCACUUAGUUUCCUUUGAAGACACUCACCGCGCUAAUAGUUACAAGCUGCUAGGUGAGGCGUCCACUUUGCAGUCUGAAUGGACGUGCGCUGCACUGGGAAAUGCCUUCCAGGAAAAACAAGCUCAGAAUUGAAUAGCAAACGUCAUUCUGAGGUGAAUAACAAAGUACUUCUCUGGGCCUCUGCAUCCUUGGGGAUCCUUCGCCCUCCAGUCCCAAUGUCCCCUCAUAUCUGACCCAGCCUCUUGACAGACACUUUACACUGCUCAGCCCUGUGCAGUGUGAAACUGGCCAGAAGGUCUGACCGGCCCAGGGCCAUGAAGAUUUAAAAGGAGAGGAUGUAUUGGCAAAGAUGUGAGAAGCCCCCUGGACUGGAACAGCAUGGGGGCCUCAAGUCAGGAGUGAAGUGCAUGGGCAGAGCUGUAUGAAGCAAGAGGUGCUGAGAGUCAGGAUUGAGGUGCAUUGGCAGAGGUGUGCAUGGGCUGCUAGACAGGGUAAUAGCAGGGAGGGUUGUUAGUUUGAACCAGAGUGCAGAACUGUACUGCACCUGCCCUACUCUGUCUACAUUUAAGCAGCAUUGACUGUCGUUUGCUUUCACGGGCACUAAAUUGACCCUAAAAUUAAGAGAUCCCUAGAAUGAUUGUUGAAUAGUAGUAAAUGGUAGAGGCUUCUAUAAUGCUAGGGGGUAAAGAGCAACUGCCUGGAAGAUUGAGAGCCCAGAUCAGCAGGUCCCUUUCAUAAAGAGCUUUUUUGCCUGUCUACAGAGCUGAGGGGGCAGAGAUAGUGUCAACAUUGCAGCAAAGAUCUUCUCAUUACAUUUCUCCAUUGUAGACUCCAAGGAAAUGUGGGGGUGCCAUACCACAAACUGCCUGUAGGGGGCACAGCAGCCAAGGGGGUAAUAUGCUUCCCCUCUUAUACUUCCUUCUGUCUCUGUACACCCUGCAGCCAUGGGAAGAAGGUGCACUGAUUUCUCCAGCCUCAGCUGGGGGCUGGGAGCAGUCAGAGCCCCUUUUCGUUAGCUCAGGAUUACAAACGGUAAAACCGAGCCCAGCCUUUUCCCUGACUACCUCUGGACAUUAGGGUCUCCUAGUCCCCCAGAGACAGGCUGUUAGCUUCAUUGUCACAGCUGAAUCUCAGCUCAGCUUAGAAAAUUGCCUCCCUCACUGUUUGUUCAACCUGGGGCUGCCUCCCUGUCUUGGGGGAGGCCAGGAUCCCCUCACUAGAGCGUGGGGACCAUUUUUAUCCCUCUGACUUGGCUCUCCACGUUCUGACCUUCUCCUCUGAGGUGGAGGGUAGAGGCCAGCAGGGCUUAUUGUAAAGUUGCUACUUCUGCUUUGCCCUGCCCAUGCCAGCCAUUCUGCUUUCCCAGCACCUAUGCCUCGUGCCCCAUUCUGCCUAAAGCCUGUGGGUAGCUGUGUACUGGUCACAGGAGAAAGGGGCCGCGGGAUGCAUGCAUGGGAUCCAUACAUCCCUGGCCUCCAGCCAUGGGACAGAAGGAACUGUGAGAUGAAGGGUGUCUCCUGAAAGGUGCAUUUCAGAAAGGUACAGCCCAGAGGGAGGAUACAAAAGUGGCAUCUCAUUAUUGUGCCACCCAGACUCUGGGAUCCAGUAAGGGGCUGAAACAGCCCAUCCCCAUGUAAAUUAGAGCAACCUUGGAACUGCUCUGGCUUAUGGCAGCCUUAACCAGGCCAGAAUCCCUGUAAUUAGAGAUGGUCAGGAACCAGAAUUCCCAUUCUUCAGGAAAUUUUGACAUUUCCAAAAAAUAUUUGCUCCAAAUCAGAAUGAAAAGGCAAAACGUUGAAAUUUCCUGCAGAAUAAAA